ensembl:snRNA U6 U6 spliceosomal RNA
GUGUUUGCUUUGGCAGCACACAUACUAAAAUUGUAAUAAUACAGAGAAUAUUAGCAUGGCCCCUGCACAAAGAUAACACACAAAUUUUUAAAAUUCAUUCAGAUUAAU